CCUACGGGGGGCAGCAGUGGGGAAUAUUGCACAAUGGGCGCAAGCCUGAUGCAGCCAUGCCGCGUGUGUGAAGAAGGCCUUCGGGUUGUAAAGCACUUUCAGCGGGGAGGAAGGCGUUAAGGUUAAUAACCUUGGCGAUUGACGUUACCCGCAGAAGAAGCACCGGCUAACUCCGUGCCAGCAGCCGCGGUAAUACGGAGGGUGCAAGCGUUAAUCGGAGUUACUGGGCGUAAAGCGCACGCAGGCGGUCUGUCAAGUCGGAUGUGAAAUCCCCGGGCUCAACCUGGGAACUGCAUUCGAAACUGGCAGGCUAGAGUCUUGUAGAGGGGGGUAGAAUUCCAGGUGUAGCGGUGAAAUGCGUAGAGAUCUGGAGGAAUACCGGUGGCGAAGGCGGCCCCCUGGACAAAGACUGACGCUCAGGUGCGAAAGCGUGGGGAGCAAACAGGAUUAGAUACCCCUGUAGUC
rnacentral:rRNA from 1 species